UCAGGAUGAACGCUGGCGGCGUGCUUAACACAUGCAAGUCGAACGGAGCUACCUGGAUAGAGGAUUCGUCCAAUUGAAGGGUAUGCUUAGUGGCGGACGGGUGAGUAACGCGUGAGUAACCUGCCUAGGAGUGGGGAAUAACAGUCCGAAAGGAUUGCUAGUACCGCAUGAUGCAGUUGGGUCGCAUGGCCCGGACUGCCAAAGAUUUAUCGCUCUUAGAUGGACUCGCGUCUGAUUAGCUAGUUGGCGGGGUAAAGGCCCACCAAGGCGACGAUCAGUAGCCGGACUGAGAGGUUGGCCGGCCACAUUGGGACUGAGACACGGCCCAGACUCCUACGGGAGGCAGCAGUGGGGAAUAUUGGGCAAUGGGCGCCAAGCCUGACCCAGCAACGCCGCGUGAAGGAAGAAGGCUUUCGGGUUGUAAACUUCUUUUAUGAGGGACGAAAAAAGUGACGGUACCUCAUGAAUAAGCCACGGCUAACUACGUGCCAGCCGCCGC
rnacentral:rRNA from 1 species